rnacentral:rRNA from 1 species
AACGAACGCUGGCGGCAUGCCUAACACAUGCAAGUCGAACGAGACCUUCGGGUCUAGUGGCGCACGGGUGCGGAACGCGUGGGAACCUGCCCUUAGGUUCGGAAUAACUCCCCGAAAGGGGUGCUAAUACCGGAUAAUGUCUUCGAACCACAGAUUCAUCGCCUUUGGAUGGGCCCGCGUUGGAUUAACCAGUUGGUAGGGUAAAAGCCUACCAAGGCGAGGAUCCAUAGCUGGUCUGAGAGGAUGAUCAGCCACACUGGGACUGAGACACGGCCCAGACUCCUGCGGGAGGCAGCAGUGGGGAAUAUUGGACAAUGGGCGAAAGCCUGAUCCAGCAAUGCCGCGUGAGUGAUGAAGGCCUGAGGGUUGUAAAGCUCUUUUACCCGGGAUGAUAAUGACAGUACCGGGAGAAUAAGCUCCGGCUAACUCCGUG